rnacentral:lncRNA from 1 species
GCUAGGGGACAAGGGAGGGAAGCCCAGGUCGCCCCAGGUUACUAUCCGCCGCCUCUCCUGUACUCUCUUACCCGACCCUUCCGGCCACCCUUCUCUCUCUUUCCCUGUGGUGAUCGGAGGGUCUGCGGGGGAUGCGGCGGGCAUAGGAAGGCCCAGCACUGGCUGAUGGGGCAGGCGAGUGUCGGCUGCCGGAGCUGGUCUGGCCCAGUUGUCGGAGAAGAGCUGAGGGACGAAGCAUCGGCGGAGAGAGGGCACAGUGGCGGCGCCGCCGCCGCCGGUGGCCGGCGGAGAAGAAGAGGGAGAGGCGGAGAGUGGAGGAAGAAGCCCUCUGAAGCAGAAUUCUCAAGAUCUCCGCCUUGCCCUGUGGCGGAGGAGGCGCUCUUCUUCUAG